UCUCGCAAGUAGCGAGAAUCAGCGUGAGAGGCUUUUUGUAAACACUGGACUUUGUUUACUUCGUAUUCUUUCCUUCUUUUAGAACUUCUUUGGCGCUGAAGGGGUUCGCGGAUCGUCGAAAAAUCGGUAGAAAUGGCUACCGCGACAACGCAAGUCGUGCAAGAUGUGGACACCAACUCUGGACAUAAUAGCAGCAUUGAUGCCAGAAAACGGCGUGCUGGUUCCUUAGGG